GCUUGCUUCUCUUGAGAGCGGCGGACGGGUGAGUAAUGCCUAGGAAUCUGCCUGGUAGUGGGGGAUAACGUUCGGAAACGGACGCUAAUACCGCAUACGUCCUACGGGAGAAAGCAGGGGACCUUCGGGCCUUGCGCUAUCAGAUGAGCCUAGGUCGGAUUAGCUAGUUGGUGAGGUAAUGGCUCACCAAGGCGACGAUCCGUAACUGGUCUGAGAGGAUGAUCAGUCACACUGGAACUGAGACACGGUCCAGACUCCUACGGGAGGCAGCAGUGGGGAAUAUUGGACAAUGGGCGAAAGCCUGAUCCAGCCAUGCCGCGUGUGUGAAGAAGGUCUUCGGAUUGUAAAGCACUUUAAGUUGGGAGGAAGGGCAGUUACCUAAUACGUGAUUGUUUUGACGUUACCGACAGAAUAAGCACCGGCUAACUCUGUGCCAGCAGCCGCGGUAAUACAGAGGGUGCAAGCGUUAAUCGGAAUUACUGGGCGUAAAGCGCGCGUAGGUGGUUAGUUAAGUUGGAUGUGAAAUCCCCGGGCUCAACCUGGGAACUGCAUUCAAAACUGACUGACUAGAGUAUGGUAGAGG
rnacentral:rRNA from 1 species